CGAGGCCUACGGGGGGCAGCAGUGAGGAAUAUUGGUCAAUGGGCGCGAGCCUGAACCAGCCAAGUCGCGUGGGGGAAGACGGUCCUAUGGAUUGUAAACCUCUUUUGUCGGGGAGCAAAAGACGCCACGCGUGGCGUUCCGAGAGUACCCGAAGAAAAAGCAUCGGCUAACUCCGUGCCAGCAGCCGCGGUAAUACGGAGGAUGCGAGCGUUAUCCGGAUUUAUUGGGUUUAAAGGGAGCGUAGAUGGGUUGUUAAGUCAGUUGUG
rnacentral:rRNA from 1 species